rnacentral:lncRNA from 1 species
CGUGAUCUGUCUCAUCAUUCAGAGCAUCCAAGGAAGGAAAAGUAAGCAUAGAGCAAGCUCUGAAGCAUAGACAGAACAAAGAGAAGAAAAUUACAAAGAAAUGUGACCCGGUAGUGACUGAAGAAAAUAGCUUUUUUUAUUCUCGUUAGUGGUAACGCUGGUCUGCAUUUGUUGGUAAAAUGUCAGAAGGCACAGAGAAGUGUCUACAGAAAGGAACAACUCAGGUGCCUCAUUGUGUUGUCCAGACAUCCAUCUGUGAUUGCUGGGGAUUUAGAUUCCUCUAAGCUAAUGCAUGGCUCAGAUGGACUUGAGGAACACUGACAGACUGCAACAUGAGACCAGUCACGUGUACCGAGAGAUGACAGCACAGAUUCGAGUUUCCAGAUUGUACAGUAAAGGUGAGAGGACUCCAUAAAAUAAGACACUAUAUUUUCUUGGUAAGUGAUCUUCAAGAGUUAGAUAGGAGGUCAAGGAACACCCUACUCUCAAGAAAAAACAGAACAAAAUCAUUGAACGUAACUGAUUCUCAUGGUUACAAAGAAAAGUUAAUCAAUUUAAGGGUGCUAGGAAGGGAAAUUGAAAUAACUAAAAGAAUCAUACUAAACUUGGCAGUGCUUGUCUUCAACCCAACACUGGGAUGCACAACUGGUGUUCAUUUCUGGGCUCCUCAGUACAGGAAAGACAUGGGCAUGCUGGGGAGAGUCCAAAGCCUCAAGGACUAUGCAAUUGGAGCAUCUGACAUGCAAGGAGGGCUGGGACUGUUCAUCUUAGAGAAGGGGAGGUUUGGAGAAAUCUUGCCUAUGUGUAUAAAUACCUGGAGGGGAAGAGAAGAAGACAGACCUAAAUUCUCGGUGGUUCCUGGAAAAAGUUAAGAGGCAAUGGGCAAUACAGAUAUAGCUACAUUAAAACAAACAAACAAACAAAAAAAUAAAUUACAAAUCAAACAUUGGAACA